GAACAGAUAGGUUUGGUCCUGGCGUUUUUAUUAGCUCUUAGUAAGAUUACACAUGCAAGCUUCCCUGCCCCAGUGAAAAUCCCCUCUAGAUCACUGGAUCAAAAGGAGCAGGUAUCAAGCACGCACGAAUACAGCUCAAAACAUUUUGCUUAACCACACCCCCACCAGAAACAGCAGUGAUAACUCUUUAGUAAUAAAUGAAAGUUUGACUAAGCUAUACCAAUGUUAAGGGUUGGUUAAUUUCGUGCCAGCCACCGCGGCCAUACGAUUAGCCCGAGCUAAUAGGACUCGGCAUAAAGAGUGUUUAAGGUCUACCCUCAAUAAAGCUAAACCCCAUCUAAGUUGUAAAAAACUCCAGCUGAAAUAAAAUAUACUGCGAAAGUGGCUUUAAUAUCCUGAAGACACAAUAGCUAAGACGCAAACAUUAGUUACCCCACUAUGCCUAGCCCUAAACUCUAAUAGUUACACUAACAAAAACAGUUGCCAGAGUACUACAACACCUUAAAAUUCAAAGAACUUGGUGGUGUUUUAUAUCCCUCUAGAGGAGCCUGUUCUAUAACUGAUAAACCCCAAUACACCUCACCACCUGUUGCCCCCAGCCUUAUACUGCUAUCUUCAGCAAACCCUUAAAAGGCUAUAGAGUAAGCACAAGUACGCACAUAAAAACUUUAGGUCAAAGUGUAGCCCAUAAGGUGGCAAGAAAUGGGCUACAUUUUCUAUGUCCAGAAAAUCUCAUGACAAUCCUUAUGAAAUCUAAGGGCUCAAGGAGGAUUUAGUCAUAAACCAAGAGCAGAGCACUUGGUUAAAUAAGGCUGUGAAGUAUGCACACACCGCCCAUCACCCUCCUCAAAUAUUACUCUAGAAAUCACUAUUACUAAUAACUUUCUACAUGUAUACAGAAGAGAUAAGUUGUAACAUGGUAAGCGUAUUGGAAAGUGCGCUUGGACAAACUGAAAU
rnacentral:ncRNA from 1 species